rnacentral:rRNA from 1 species
CUCCUACGGGAGGCAGCAGUAGGGAAUCUUCGGCAAUGGGGGCAACCCUGACCGAGCAACGCCGCGUGAGUGAAGAAGGUUUUCGGAUCGUAAAGCUCUGUUGUAAGAGAAGAAUGUGUGUGGGAGUGGAAAAUCCACACAAUGACGGUAACUUACCAGAAAGGGACGGCUAACUACGUGCCAGCAGCCGCGGUAAUACGUAGGUCCCGAGCGUUAUCCGGAUUUAUUGGGCGUAAAGCGAGCGCAGGCGGUUAGAUAAGUCUGAAGUUAAAGGCUGUGGCUUAACCAUAGUUUGCUUUGGAAACUGUUUAACUUGAGUGCAAGAGGGGAGAGUGGAAUUCCAUGUGUAGCGGUGAAAUGCGUAGAUAUAUGGAGGAACACCUGUGGCGAAAGCGGCUCUCUGGCUUGUAACUGACGCUGGGGCUCGAAAGCGUGGGUAGCGAACAGGAUUAGAUACCCUGGUAGUCCACGCCGUAAACGAUGAGUGCUAGGUGUUAGGCCCUUUCCGGGGCUUAGUGCCGCAGCUAACGCAUUAAGCACUCCGCCUGGGGAGUACGACCGCAAGGUUGAAACUCAAAGGAAUUGACGGGGGCCCGCACAAGCGGUGGAGCAUGUGGUUUAAUUCGAAGCAACGCGAAGAACCUUACCAGGUCUUGACAUCCCUCUGACCGCUCUAGAGAUAGAGUUUCCCUUCGGGGCAGAGGUGACAGGUGGUGCAUGGUUGUCGUCAGCUCGUGUCGUGAGAUGUUGGGUUAAGUCCCGCAACGAGCGCAACCCCUAUUGUUAGUUGCCAUCAUUCAGUUGGGCACUCUAGCGAGACUGCCGGUAAUAAACCGGAGGAAGGUGGGGAUGACGUCAAAUCAUCAUGCCCCUUAUGACCUGGGCUACACACGUGCUACAAUGGCUGGUACAACGAGUCGCAAGUCGGUGACGGCAAGCUAAUCUCUUAAAGCCAGUCUCAGUUCGGAUUGUAGGCUGCAACUCGCCUACAUGAAGUCGGAAUCGCUAGUAAUCGCGGAUCAGCACGCCGCGGUGAAUACGUUCCCGGGUCUUGUACACACGC